UACAGAGGUCUCAAGCGUUGUUCGGAUUCAUUGGGCGUAAAGGGUGCGUAGGCGGCGCGGUAAGUCGGGGUGUGAAAUCCCUCAGCUCAACUGAGGAAUUGCGCCCGAAACUACUUUGCUAGAGGAAGAUAGGGGUACGCGGAACUUAGGGUGGAGCGGUGAAAUGCGUUGAUAUCCUAAGGAACACCGGUGGCGUAAGCGGCGUACUGGGUCUUUUUCUGACGCUGAGGCACGAAAGCUAGGGGAGCGAACGGG
rnacentral:rRNA from 1 species